rnacentral:rRNA from 1 species
UGGUUGAUCCUGUUAAUAAUCAUAUGCUUGUCUCAAAGAUUAAGCCAUGCAUGUCUAAGUAUAAACAACUUUGUACUGUGAAACUGCGAAUGGCUCAUUAAAUCAGUUAUAGUUUAUUUGAUGGUAUCUUGCUACAUGGAUAACUGUGGUAAUUCUAGAGCUAAUACAUGCAAUCAAGCCCCAACUUCUGGAAGGGGUGUAUUUAUUAGAUAAAAAACCUACGCGGCUCGCCGCUCCCUUGGUGAUUCAUAAUAACUUCUCGAAUCGCAUGGCCUUGUGCCGGUGAUGCUUCAUUCAAAUAUCUGCCCUAUCAACUUUCGAUGGUAGGAUAAAGGCCUACCAUGGUUUCAACGGGUAACGGGGAAUAAUGGUUCGAUUCCGGAUAGGGAGCAUGAAAAACGGCUACCACAUCCAAUGAA